GUAGGUGGCAAGCGUUGUCCGGAAUUAUUGGGCGUAUAGCGCGCGCAGGCGGUUCUUUAAGUCUGAUGUGAAAGCCCACGGCUCAACCGUGGAGGGUCAUUGGAAACUGGAGAACUUGAGUACAGAAGAGGAAAGCGGAAUUCCACGUGUAGCGGUGAAAUGCGUAGAGAUGUGGAGGAACACCAGUGGCGAAGGCGGCUUUCUGGUCUGUAACUGACGCUGAGGCGCGAAAGCGUGGGGAGCAAACAGGAUUAGAUACCCUGGUAGUCCACGCCGUAAACGAUGAGUGCUAAGUGUUAGGGGGUUUCCGCCCCCCUUAGUGCUGCAGCUAACGCAUUAAGCGCUCCGCCUGGGAGUACGGCCGCAAGGCUG
rnacentral:rRNA from 1 species